ensembl:snRNA U6 U6 spliceosomal RNA
GUGUUUGCUUCAGCAGCAUAUAUACUAAAAAUUAGAAUGAUACAGAGUGGAUCAGCAAGACCUCUAUACAAGGAUGACAUGCAAAUUCAUGAAGCAUUCCAGAAUUCU